GUUGUAGCUCAGUAGUAGAGCGCUUGCCUAGUAUGUGUGAGGCCCUGGGUUCAAUCCUCAGCACUACA
rnacentral:tRNA from 1 species